rnacentral:rRNA from 1 species
GAUGAACGCUGGCGGCGUGCCUAAUACAUGCAAGUCGAGCGAACAGACGAGGAGCUUGCUCCUCUGACGUUAGCGGCGGACGGGUGAGUAACACGUGGAUAACCUACCUAUAAGACUGGGAUAACUUCGGGAAACCGGAGCUAAUACCGGAUAAUAUAGUGAACCGCAUGGUUCAAUAGUGAAAGACGGUUUUGCUGUCACUUAUAGAUGGAUCCGCGCCGCAUUAGCUAGUUGGUAAGGUAACGGCUUACCAAGGCAACGAUGCGUAGCCGACCUGAGAGGGUGAUCGGCCACACUGGAACUGAGACACGGUCCAGACUCCUACGGGAGGCAGCAGUAGGGAAUCUUCCGCAAAGGGCGAAAGCUUGACGGAGCAACGCCGCGUGAGUGAUGAAGGUCUUCGGAUCGUAAAACUCUGUUAUUAGGGAAGAACAAAUGUGUAAGUAACUAUGCACGUCUUGACGGUACCUAAUCAGAAAGCCACGGCUAACUACGUG